rnacentral:piRNA from 1 species
UGGCAGGAUCAGGAAGAUGGUUGAUCACA